CCAGGCCAGGGCUCAAAGACAGUCCUGUUUGCUUUCCAGCAGCCGAGGGCCCUGUGCUAACUACUUUUCCUCUUGGGUCCAGUCUUUGGGAUCUGACCUAGCUCUGCUUAAAUCCCUCCAGCUUUCCAUUGCUUCUAGGACAAACCUCACGUCUUCAGCACAGCCUCUAAGCUAUGCACAAGCUGUCACCUGCCCAGGACUCCACCCCUCUCUCCUCCCACUCCAGGUUCCAUCCGUUCCUCCCUUCCUCCAGCAACCCAAGUGCCUCCUGCGACAGGCCCUGCCUGGUCUUUUCCACGAGGUGCCAUCAGCCCCAUUUCUGGAAGAGCCUGGACUGUAAAGAAGGGGAUCUCUGCAUCUCAUAAGCCCAGAGGCCAACAGCCAGCUUGUUUGGGAGUCCAGGGUCUGAGGCCACAGCCAGGAGAGAGCCCUGUCCGUGGCAGCUUCAAACCCACGUCCUGGUUCCUGGCAACUGGAGAUCCUGGAGGAGACGGCUCCCGGUGGCUUUGUCGCUGACCUCCCCAGAUCAUUUUUUCAGACAUGUAGAACCUUCCGCUCUCCUCCUUAAUAGCUCCCACAGCUGCCAGCCCUGAGGACUUUUCUUCUUUUAAAUCAAAUUCCUCUCUGGGUUUAAUACACACGUGCGUGCACGUGCUCAGGAGCCCACGAGGCUGAAGCGGACCACGCCUUCUCAAUUUCCCCAAUUCAUCCCUUUCUUGCUGUGAUGGCUUCUGGUCACUUGCCUCAGGACAGGUGCACCUUUGUAACCACCUGGGGAUGUAGGCGCCGGUCCUCUGAGUCCAGAGCCAUUUCUCCCUCCCGAAGCCGGCUUCGUGUUCCAGAGAGGCUGGAGCCACCGAAGCUGGGACUCAGGCAUGUGAUCGUACUAGAGGUAUUUUUAGCUUUCUCAUUAACCGAGUGCUUUCAAA
rnacentral:lncRNA from 10 species